GCCACCGCCGAACGAUGCGCGACGCGAGGGUUGGGGAACCCGGUGACCCGAGCGCAUCGAGACUGGCAAGGGUCCUAGGGAGCCCGCGUCGGUCGUUUCGACGAAGGAG
rnacentral:sRNA from 12 species